rnacentral:lncRNA from 1 species
AUGAAUUACUAUUUAAUGUUUUAUAAUAAUCCCACUGUAUAGGUUUUGCAAUUCUCACAUUUGAGAUGAGAGCACUGAAGCAACGACAGCUUAUUCAGUGCCCAGGUCCAUGCAGGUCUUAAGUGACCGAUCUGAUUACAGAGCCCAUGCUCUAUAAUACUACGCUAGUCAUGCCUAUGAGAGCAGUGUUGCCACCUGCAGACCCUUCCAGACAAUCACUCCUCUGGAGGCAGAGAUGUUUGCUGACUCACAUAAAACUCAUCUUUUCUGGUUUAUUGCAAUAUUCAAGCUGAAGCACCCUAACACUCAAUUUUAUCCAAUACGCAGCUUAAAACCUUCUACCAAAAGAAAAUGUGUAUCUUAUACAGUUGCCCGAUGUUUGAUGCAGCCCUGAAAUUUAAAUGGAAAGAGUACUUGGAAUUGAUGUUCAUGUAUUACUCACUUAAUCUGCUGCCAGAGCAAUCCACUACUGAGGUUUCAGUUUUCAAUAUAUUCCAAGGCCAGCUCUGACAUCCAUCUUACUUGUUGCAUGGAGAAAAUCUGCACUAUGUACAAAUGAAGCAUAAGUCGUGUUUUGGGGCAACAUCACACGGUAUAUCUUAAUAUA